CAUUAAUGUAUUGACAUGAAUGUUUCAUAUGUUCCAAAAAAACAUGAAUAACAUGCACUGGUGUUUUAUGCCCGCCUAAUGGGUGCGAUGUAGGUCUUAAUUUUCAUUGAAGUGGUCUUAAAAAAGUCACAUUACAUUUGGGGUGAUCAAACCUGGGGAAACCCUGUACUUUGACCAUCUCAAAAAUGUUUUUUCAUAUUCUGAUAUACUUUCUAGUCUGGACAGAUCAACAGGGAUGCCCUGCUUUCUUGAGUUUGCAUACGCCUCCUUUGAGAAAGACCAGCUCUGCUGUGAUACCCCUUUCAUCUGCCCUGCCUGCACACCUGAAAUGGUAGCAGUGUCAGCAGAUGGCAACAGGAAGCUUUAUCGCUUUGGCCGUACUGGAAGGUGCACUUUAAGUUCUCUUUGGUAAUUGAGUCGUGACUGUAAGUGACAAGAGUAGGUAAUGGAUGUUAUAUAUUUUUCCCCUAAAUCUAAUGACACUCCCUUUUUUGAUGGGCUAUUUCUAGCCAAAGACAGUGAGGUGUCUAAUUUUGUCAACACAAUACAGAUGGCGGUGAAGAACAUAAAGGGGAGAGGCACAUGUGGAGACUCUCAAUGGCAGCAGCAAGGGAGACCUCUAGAUAAAAUUGAGUGGUCGGAACCAGAAGGGAGCAGGCACAACUGCCGGUGAGGAGGUGGAGCAAAUAAACAGCUACCUCUCCCGUUGUGCCCGGACAACAAAGUACAUGUCAAAAGCAGCACGUGUGGACAUGCUCACUGUGCAUGCAAUGGGUUGGAACCAUCACAAAGCAGAGACGCUACACAAGGCCCUCUCCACAAGAUAUGUGAAGACAUCUAAAAAGGGCAGAAGAAGAGGCAGAGAGGCUGUCACAACUGCAGAAGGAUCUACAGUGCUCAAAUGCAGUGGCUGUACGGUGGAUUGCUGAAGUCAAGGAAUGGGCAGAGAGCGAGACCCCAGUAAAGGGUCUGCACGUUCUCCAGCAGUCCAUUGAGGGUCUCCAUCUGGGUCUUAAGCAGCAGAAACAAACCCUCUACCGUCAGAAUGACAGCAACAAGCUUCGCCAUCGUCUCCGAAGAAAGUUGACGGCAGACAAAAAGCGCCUUCUCCAGGAGAUUGAGAAAUACAACAGUCUUGUUGCAGACCUCUCCAAAAGGAUUGAUGUGGCCUUGGUUGACCACUCUUUGGCUGGACAGAGCACUGGCGCAAUAUGGCCAUGGGAGGACUAUGGCAGUGUAACAAUCGGGGUCAAGAAACGACUACACGACCAGGAAAUGCUGAAAACAUGGCUGGAAGGGGAGCUCCCUAUCCUGGUGUUGGAGAUGGCACAGUACUGUACGUGGUUGCAGAACCUGGGAGUGGCCCUCAAGACGGAGCUUGCAAGAUACGAAGAUGAAAAUGGACUUCACUGUCUCUUAGCAAGAAGUCUUGCGGAAGUGGAAGAACAACAUCAAAUGGUCCUGCAGCGGUAUAAGACUGCUCUAGGUCCAUUGGCCUCUGUCCUCCUUGAUGUUUGUGAGGAAGAGGAAUGUGAUCCGAUGGGCCUGGUAAGUCCAGACACCAGCGAGGAUGAGGAAGAUGCAAGAGAACAAGCAACUUAGUUGGUGGUGUGGUUUCGCGCCUCGAUUGAUGUACAUAAAUGACAUUGUUAUUGCUAUUUUUUAAAUAAAAAAA
ensembl:lncRNA